rnacentral:tRNA from 1 species
GUGUCUGUAGCCUAGUGGAAAAAGGCAGCACUCUAGAUGCUGAGGUUGUGGGUUCAAAUCCCACCAGACACA